rnacentral:SRP_RNA from 1 species
CUGUGCUAGAUGGGGAGUUAGCGGUGCCCUGUAACCUGCAAUCCGCUUUAGCAGGAUUGAACACCUAUUAGAGGCCUGUUAUUGUAGAGUCUGCCCUGUAUAAGUGGCAAUGAGGUUUGGGUCCUACGCAAUGGAAGCCUAUGAACUUCGUCAGAUCCGGAAGGAAGCAGCGAUAAGUGGUUCCUUUCAUGUGCCGUGGGAGUGCUUGAACUGAGUUAACUGUACAGGUAACGUUUAUAAUAGCUUGUCGACUUAGGUGCACAG